CGCAGGACAGAAGAUUUGCUGUCUCACACAACGAAGCUGCCCGUCCUUUCACUGUUUGUGCCCACAACCUGGUCGGUCAUCGGAUGGACACUGGCAGUGACACCUGAACUGAGUGGGUGGCCUUGGAGUGUGCAUGUGGGACCCCUGUACAAGCGUAUAUACAACCACAGGCACCAACUGGACCAGCUGGCAGUACAGCCUGGACCAACUGUGGCCAAGGCUGGGGAGUAGUCUCACAUCCUCCCUUUGACCUUCAGCCUCACCCCUGGUAGACUACUGGACUUCUCAGGCCUCCAAGAGCAUUGUGACCCAGAGAUGAAAAGUGGCAAAAUGAAGCUCUCCUCCUCAUCUUUGUCUCAGGCAGAAGAGAUCCACUUCAGUUGUCCAGUCUGACCUCGAGGAAUCAGUCCUUGGCUGUGGACAUGGAGCAAGCCCACCACUCUUACCUCAAGCUGGGCCAGUGGCAGAUGCUACUGACCAUGGCUCUUUUUCCUGUUUGGUCCAGGAUGCAGCCUCAGCAUCCUUUUCAACAUAGCACUCCACACAGUGAUUCACCUGGGCAUGAAAUGGAGCUUUUGGUCCCACUCAUGUAGUGUGACCUCAGUGCCCCAGUGCUACCACUCCUGAGCUGGGGGCCAGGGCUUUGGCUUAGACUAAAGCUAAGCCAGUGGCCACCUGCUACUGUAUUCUCUCCAUUAAAGUAUAGGCCAGCCAGAUGUCCAACCAAUGUCACCCUCUUCCUCCUCACCAUGUGGCCUCUCACGUCUGGAGCCAAGAGCAGGACUUGGGAGUGUCAAUGACAUCACCUUUCCUUGGAGAGGGUAGGAGUGUAUGGUGUCCACACUCUGUCCUGUUCAUUGUGUCCCAGGGCACACUGGUCACCCAUGACUCAAGGCAGACAUGGUACCAGAGAGCUGCCCCAUCAAGGCUGCAGGUGCCCAGAGUGAACCCCUAGUGUUAGAUGUAUGCACAUGUGCCGGUCCUCCUUAGCACGCAGCGAGGUGCUGGCCCCUCAGGGUCACCUUGAGGAUGCCCCUCCCUCCACGGCCUUGGCAUCAGAUGAGAGCCUUGCCCCCCUGGCAGUGCCCAUCUCAUUACCAGCUGGGCACAGAGAUGGCAUCACCCAUGCCUGCAGAUGGAGCCAGUUGGCACAAGCAUCUGUCUGCGUGGCUGGUUGAGAAAUUAAUCUUCCAGUCACCACGACCGGCAGAGUCAAAGCAGGCUAUGACCUGCGGCUUAUCCAGGGUGAAGGCAUAUCAACAGCUGAACACUGCUGAUAAGAUACUGGGAUUCCAGAGAAGGGAGCCAUUGUGUGUCGGGAAGAGACAGAGCAGGGCAAGCAGGGCAUACCUGGAAAUAGUCUCACUCUGAUGGGAUACGCCAGCUUCUUCUGUCCCCCACAGUAGCAGUCCCUUGAUGUUCAAAGGUUUAACAACCGACGUUUCAACCAUUUGGAAGAGAGGACCCCAACCCCAAGCAGUGACACGUAACCAGUCGUACACAUUUGAACAGACAUUGAUGAAUCCAAGACCUAUCUUUGGAGAGCCUGAGCCCAGAAGUCCAAUUCCUGAGUGCUGGUAUCAUGCUGCCAUUUCUUGGAGUGUGACUUUAGACACGGUACCUCACCUGUCUGAGCGGCAGGGUCCUCAGGGAGAAAGCAGGAUAGGGCAUUUCACUGGCUUUGAGGAUGAGGGGUAUGUAUGUCAUGUUCAUUCUGUUGUCCAAGGGGGUCAGUGGGAGGGAGCCAUUGCUGCUGCUGACCCUGGGAACCCUCUCUCCGGAUGGCUCCUUCCAGCUCAGUCUUCUGGGUGUGAACCCCAGGGUGGCCUGAUAUGUACCCCCCCAUCCCCACAGACACCAACAACAGUGUUGAUGGGGGAAGGGAGGGUAGGAUGUGCUCUCCCUAGGCCUGGUAGAGAAGUCUCUCAGGUAUGGCAGGCUGCUUAGAGAACUGUGAUUUCACACCAGAAAAUUCAUGAAGAAUCUGGGGGCCUGGGAUCUAUACUUUCUAAAAGUACAUGUGUGUACAUGUAUCUGUGUUCACAUCUGUGAGUGUGCCCGUGUGCACUGUGGCCACGUGUGUGUCUGGAGGGAGACUUAAGCAGGCUGACGGGUCAUCUCUCAUGCUGCUUCCAGAGAAAUCUUUCUUAAAGGCAUAAUGGAUCAUGUCACUCUUUUGCUGAAAAUCCAUAAAUCCUCAGUGUCCUUAGGAAAAUGACCUGGCUUCACCACUACCUCCACAGCCCUGUGGCUCUGCUUACCUCUUUAGUGAACUGGCAUAAUGCGAGCGCUUA